rfam:Loxodonta africana unplaced genomic scaffold scaffold_36, whole genome shotgun sequence.
GCACUGGUGGGCCAGUGGUAGGAUUCUUGCCCCCCAUGCAGGAGACCCGGGUUCGAUUCCCGGCCGAUGCA